CAGUAGCCACGGUAAAACGAGGGGUGCAAGCGUUACUCGGAAUUACUGGGCGUAAAGCGUGCGUAGGUGGUGGUUUAAGUCCGUUGUGAAAGCCCUGGGCUCAACCUGGGAAUUGCAGUGGAUACUGGGUCACUAGAGUGUGGUAGAGGAUAGUGGAAUUUCCGGUGUAGCAGUGAAAUGCGUAGAGAUCGGAGGGAACAUCUGUGGCGAAGGCGACUAUCUGGGCCAACACUGACACUGAGGCACGAAAGCGUGGGGAGCAAACAGGAUUAGAUACCCGUGUAGUCCCUGUCUCUUAUAC
rnacentral:rRNA from 1 species